ACUCACAGUUUCCUGAAGUAGGACGUCAGAGGACUGGCGGCAGGUAGAGGGCUGAGGAGCGCAGGCCAGGGUCUGCUGGGUGGAAGACUGGUGCCUGUGAGAGUGUGGUGGGGGUGGAGAAAAGGUUUCUUAACGGCAUAGCCACUGCCCUGUACCUCAGGAACACAAUUCACACCACCCCUGCUUUCAUUUUCAUCAGAAAUCACAACUUCUCAGGAGAUCCAGAAUAUAAGCAUUAAGACUGCAAGACCUGUGGAGGGUAAUUGCAGCCAGAAACUUGUACUAAAGCUCUGGAGAGGCCUUUUCCAUUUCUGUGGAAAUUCUGGCUGCUUCCUCUCCAGCUCCAGAUCCAACAUUGGAGAGUCUCAAGAAAAGUUAUGGCUUCAGCCAUUACAAUUGAAAAGCUAAAAGAGAUCGCCACCUGCACCAUGUGCUCAGGCCUAAUGCAGCACCCAGUGAAUAUCCACUGCGGACACAGCUACUGCCUGUUAUGCAUUUUGACUGUCGUUAAGGAGAAGCCAUGGUUUAAAAGGUUCCAAUGUCCUCACUGUGGUUUCACAUUUGAAGAAGGACACUGGGUAUACAAUAAUUCCUUGGAAAGACUCGUUGAGCUCAUCCAGGAAAUGGAGAAGACAGAGCAGGAGCUGCUGUGUGAGACCCAUGGGGAGCGGCUCCAGCUCUUCUGUGAAGAUGAUGGCCAGCUCAUCUGCUGGCGCUGUGAGAGGGGACCACAACACCAAGGGCACGCCACAGCGCUGGUGGAGGACGUGUGCCAGGGCUACAAGGAAAAACUGGAGAAAGCUGGCAGAAAUUUGAAUCUACUUCAAGAGGAAUGUAUGAACCAGAAAGUGUUCAUAACGACACAGAUAACUAAAUGGAAGGACAAGAUAGAGAUUUGGAGACAAAAAAUUAAAUCUGACUUUAAGAAUCUCCAUACCUUUCUACAAGAAGAAGAGAAGUUGUAUCUCUGGAGGCUGGAGAAGGAAGAAGAGCAGAUGCUGAGGAGACUGAGGGAGAGUGAGGCCAACCUGCAGCAGAAGAGCGAGGAGCUCAAGAGCCACAUCCUGGAAAUGGAGGCAAAAUGUCAGGGCUCAGCCCAGAACCUGCUGCAGGAUGUGAGAGGCACCUUGAGCAGGACUUGUGCUGUGAAGCUGGAGGUGCCUGAAGUCUUUCCCUUGGAGAUUCACACUGUGUGUGAUGUUGCUAAGCUUUACUUGGAUGUGAAAGGAAUCCUAAGACUCCAUGAAGUGAAUGUGACUCUGGAUUCAGAUACAGCUCAUCCUGCCCUAACUCUGUCAAAGGAUCGGAGACAAGUGGCUCAUGGAUGCAGCCGGCAGAAUCUUAAAUUUUCACCUGGGAGAUUUACUGCCUUCCCCUGUGUCCUGGGGUGUGAGAGCUUCAGCUCAGGAAGACACUUCUUCGAAGUGGAUGUUGGAGAAGGAACAGCUUGGGAUGUGGGAGUCUGUAUGGAAAAUGUGGAGCGGGGCCUCAACAUGAAGCAGGUACCUGAGCUGGGAUUCUGGGCCAUCCGACGGGGCACACAGAAUGGUUAUGUAGCACUGACCUCUCCGCACAUUGCCCUUGAGCUGCGUGAGCGCCCUCUAGUGGUGGGGGUUGCUCUGGACUAUGAGGCUGGAGCUGUGUCCUUCUAUAAUAUGACCUCUGGCUCCCACAUCUUCACCUUCCCCAAGGCUUCCUUCUCUGGUACUCUGCGGCCCUAUUUCCAGGUGAAUGAAACUUCUCCUUUGUCCUUGCUUUCCUGUGUCAUGUGAGUAAUUUAUUGUUAACUUGAGUGGGGAUGCCCAGCUGAAUCGAGUCAGCAUAGUUCUGGGUGUGGAAAACCCACUUAAGGAAGAGCAUUGUGAGAACAGUAUAAAAGGAGAAGGGGACAGAAGGAUUUCACCUGAUCCUCCUUGGAAGAGCUUCAAUACGACUGCUUUUCUUUGGAGGCACCCUAGCUGUUUUGGUUGUUUGGGGAAGUUUCACUUCUUGUCUUCAUCUUGGACAAGGUCUCCUGGCUGCCAGUAUAGAUUCCUCAGCUUUCUGACAGCCUUUUGCUACAGGAACUUCAGCUUCCAGAACCGGCCUUCGGACCUCUCCAAAGCAGACCCUUCAGUCUUCCCAUCCUCCGAUCCUUCGCCCUCCGAAUACAGACUUCCACAUGGCAUUGCCUUGGGCUGCAGGCCUUCAGCUGGAUCCUUUGGGUCUGCAGUGUGUGGAGAGAUGUUUUGCACUCAUCUGACUUUAGUAAGCAUUGACUAAUACAUGGUGGCAAGAAAAAAUCAAGUUGCCCGUGUUUUAAACUGGACAAAAAAUAUGUAAAUCUCAUAAGAGCAGAAAUUUGAUUAGUUUCUUCAUUUCUGUUUGUUCCAUAUCUAGAAUGCAGUUGUACCUUUGGAGGAUAAUUUAAGAAAUCUGUAUUGAAUUAAUGGCUAUAAAUACUAUAAGAAUAGCACAGGUGGCAUGCCUGGCUGAAGAGAAAUAAACAGUCCUGAUGUCUCCCAGAGCCAGUAAGCUUUCCUGAGACAUCUCCAACUUAAGUGUAAGAAAAAAGCCACAAUUUUCUUGUGAAGAAAUGCUUCUGAUGGAAAAUGGAGUGGUCCUCUGAUGACAUCUAAGAAUCGAAGGAAGGAAUCCAGAGCUGUUUGUGGAGGUUUGUGGGACCUCUAUCUUUGCCCAAAAAGACCUAGAAGAGGUCAGGUCAUCUCCCAGGCUUCUGGUGUCAGAAGUCCAUCUGGAACAGGAAGAUACGGGAAACGGAUCACAACAGGAAGCCCUGGGAAGAACCACCUCCUCCUCAGCCUUGUGGGUGCCUUCUGCAGUUAAGCAGGCUUUCCUUGGCAGACAUCAGUGGAAAAAGCACAAAAAUGUCAUAGGCUGUUUGCAUUCAGCCUCCUGAUUUCUAAAUGUUGACAUGUCACUAUAUUUGCUCCAGAUGCACUUCCAAGAAAUAAAAUGUAACAAAAUGUCACCAAAGAAAGG